rnacentral:rRNA from 1 species
CCUACGGGUGGCAGCAGUGAGGAAUAUUGGUCAAUGGGCGCAAGCCUGAACCAGCCAAGUCGCGUGAGGGAUGACGGUCCUAUGGAUUGUAAACCUCUUUUGUCGGGGAGCAAGGCCCGCCACGUGUGGCGGGAAGGAGAGUACCCGAAGAAAAAGCCUCGGCUAACUCCGUGCCAGCAGCCGCGGUAAUCCGGAGGAUGCGAGCGUUAUCCGGAUUUAUUGGGUUAAAAGGGUGCGUAGGCGGAAGGUUAAGUAAGUGGUCAAAAGUGGGUGCUCAACACCGGCCUGCCGUUGAAACUGGUCUGCUUGAGUGAGCGAGAAGUAUGCGGAAUGCGGGGUGUAGCGGUGAAAUGCAUAGAUAUCACGCAGAACUCCGAUUGCGAAGGCAGCAUACCGGCGCUCAACUGACGCUGAGGCACGAAAGCGUGGGGAUCGAACAGGAUUAGAUACCCCGUAUC